AUUUAAAACUAAAUUAUUUUAAUUGUUUAUUUAAGGCAAAACGCAUUUAAUUAAGUAUUUCCAAACAAAUUUACUAAAAAACAUCCCGAAAGGACCCACUAACAAUAUUUCUCAGAAAUGGCACACCCAUUUACCUUUUGCAUAAUGUAAUUGCAAGAAAAAACAACUUACUACUGUUUCCCGAAAAAUGGAGAGCUAUUAUUAUCACAACUUUUAGUGUAGCACUACUAAAACACAGUCAAUAAUAGCAGCAAAAUACCUGACGAACCACUUGAUAGCUGGCUGUCCCUUAAAGACAUGUUAGUGUCUUCUUACAGUAACAACAAUAUAAAUUUUCUUGUAAGAAAAACUCCAAGGGGGACAAGCUCCUUGGAGGAAUAUUAGAAAUAUAAUAAUAAUAACUGACCAAAAAGGCUUAAAAACAGCCAAAAUUAUCCGUUAUAGGAAAUGUACGUAUAAAACCAAUAUUAAAUAUAAAUUCUACUAUUAAAGGAACCUAAAAACCCAACCAACUUUUUUGUGAACCGGCAACUAUUAGUAUCUUCAAGCAUUUUAUGAUAAAGGUUUUGUUUUAAAAAAACUACCUCCCACAAUAUUUUAGCUUAAAAAAACAUUGGUAAUGAACUCGGCAAAUAUUUUUUCUGCCUGUUUAUCAAAAACAUCGUCUUUUGCCAAACAUCUAUAAAAGAUACUGCCUGCCCUAUGAUUUAUAUUAAAUGGCCGCGUUAGCGUGAGCGUGCUAAGGUAGCGUAAUAAACAGCUCCCUAAUUAGGAGCCAGUGAAUGGCCACACAGAGAAAAACUUUAUUACCAAUGAUAAGAAAAAUUUUCAUUUAAGUGAAAAGACUUAAAUAAAGGAAAAAGACAAAAAGACCCCGCGGAACUUCCUUAUAGUUAUACUAUACAUAACAAAACCUGUAUUUAUAUCUAACUGGUUGGUUGGGGCAACCUUGGAACAAAUAAAACCUCCAUCUAUUAAGAAAACCCAUAAAAAACUUACUAUGGACCAUAUUGCAGUUACCCCGGGGAUAACAGCGUAAUUCAACUUGAGAGUACGAAUCGAAAGUUGAGUUUGCGACCUCGAUGUUGGCUUAGGGAAAGCAUUCUGGCGCAGCAGCUAGAUCACAAUGCCAGUCUGUUCGACUGUCAAUCCCCUACACGAGCUGAGUUAAGACCGGCGAGAGCUAGGUUGGAUUCUAUCUUUUCCACUAACAGAAUUCUUCAUUGUACGAAAGGACCUAAAGAAACACACUAACAAGUGCACUUAUAAAUUACGUAAUAAAUACUUGUAAUCUACAAAAAU
rnacentral:rRNA from 1 species